rnacentral:rRNA from 1 species
CAUCGAAUCUUUGAACGCACAUUGCGCCCUCUGGUAUUCCGGAGGGCAUGCCUGUUUGAGCGUCGUU